GAGCUAAUACCGGAUAAUAUAUUGAACCGCAUGGCUCAAUAGCGAAAGACGGUUUUGCUGUCACUUAUAGAUGGAUCCGCGCCGCAUUAGCUAGUUGGUAAGGUAACGGCUUACCAAGGCGACGAUGCGUAGCCGACCUGAGAGGGUGAUCGGCCACACUGGAACUGAGACACGGUCCAG
rnacentral:rRNA from 1 species